CUGAAGGGUUAUGUCGAGGAGUCGAAUGAUGAGGUAACGCUCUGAAAGGCUCCCUCUUCGUCGAAUAGUAUGCUGUUUAGUAAGAAAAAGCGUAUUAUAAGCUCGGCUAAUAGGUGCGAGAAUUUACCGUAACAGUUUGGCUGACGAAAUCCUCCCAAAUGAACGGCGGGGGUUGAUGGAUAUAAAAUCUUACAA
rnacentral:ncRNA from 1 species